GGAGAAGGCGCCUCAUGUCCUCACGGCGACCUUUCUCAAUGGGCCCCCUAUUGCCGCCAAGCCCGUUCUCUUGCGUUCACACUCCAGCUCGGUUCGAGACUUUUUGGGCUCUGUCUGGAAGAAGCCUCGGAGUUCAUUGCCUUGUUGCCGGAAUUCUAGAAUGCUUUGCCACGAGGAGCGCCGCCCGUGGUUCGCCAGUACCGGCCGUUAUUUUGCAGCGUUGGGCGGCCGAGUUCCCACAUUCAUCGGCAAUCUCCGAUUAGCAGCGGUGGAACACUCUGUUUCGUCAAGUGGGCUGCUUCACCGGUGUUUUACGUCCAUUCGCAAUUAGGAUUUAGGGUUUUCGACCUGAUAUAUUUUUGAAGCAGAAGAAUAAUAACCAGAUUUCAUAUGGAACUUGUUGUGACGUUUUUAGGUGUAAAAGUGGGAAAUGUCUCCACAAAAUGAAGUCUACUAACUUAUGGUUAAGUAAGUUUGUUAUUAGAUUUACAUCAAGUUAUGAUGUCUUAACUUUACUCGGUAUGACAUUUUAAGUUCCCAAAUGUUUCUUUAACAUUGAACAAAAAAGAAUACCAAAGAUAAGUUUCAUGCAUUUAAG